rnacentral:tRNA from 5 species
CGGGGCGUAGCGCAGUCUGGUAGCGCACUUGGUUUGGGACCAAGGGGCCGAAGGUUCGAAUCCUUUCGCCCCGACCA